GGCCAGACUCCUACGGGAGGCAGCAGUGGGGAAUAUUGCACAAUGGGGGAAACCCUGAUGCAGCGACGCCGCGUGAGUGAAGAAGUAUUUCGGUAUGUAAAGCUCUAUCAGCAGGGGAGAAAAAAGACGGUACCUGACUAAGAAGCCCCGGCUAACUACGUGCCAGCAGCCGCGGUAAUACGUAGGGGGCAAGCGUUAUCCGGAUUUACUGGGUGUAAAGGGAGCGUAGACGGUUAUGCAAGUCUGGAGUGAAUGGCGGGGGCUCAACCCCCGGACUGCUCUGGAAACUGUAGAACUAGAGUGCAGGAGGGGUAAGUGGAAUUCCUAGUGUAGCGGUGAAAUGCGUAGAUAUUAGGAGGAACACCAGUGGCGAAGGCGGCUUACUGGACUGUACCUGACGCUGAGGCGCGAAAGCGUGGGUAGCGAACGGGAUUAGAUACCCCCGUAUA
rnacentral:rRNA from 1 species